CUUUAAUUUAAAAGUAUAAACCCAGCUAUCAUUGGCUAUAGCACUUAUUUUAGAACGCUGACAAAAACGUUCUAUUACCAGUUUGUUACAAAUAUUUUUUCCAGAAUCCGAACUUCGAAAAUCCCAUCAUGCCAGAUAGAAAGUUUAUUAAGACCCUGUUUAUAGAAACUGUGUUGUUCAUUAGUUUAUUCGCCCUCUUCAGCCACAUGGCUGUCAACUUUUGGGAGCGUCAUGUGAUACAAAAGGAACUCGUCAAGAUGAAAUCCAGUUUAUAUACACUGAAGGGCACCGUCAAUAACAUAGGACUUGCAUAUGAUCACCUUCAUGACGAAUUGAAAACCCUCGUAGUAUUCGCUGACAACCCAUAUCCAAGUGAGCGAGAAUCAUUCGAACAAAAACGUAACCCACAACAAAACACCGCUGUUAAGAAAUGUCAAUAUACAAAAAUGCAGCCAUAUAUCUGCCAAGUCAUGUAAAUCGAGAAACAAGAACGUCGAUAAAUAUGUCGAUUUGGAAUUUCCUAUAGAAGACCAUGUCCAAACUACAUUAAGAAGUUAUGGAAAAGACGUGGGACCUAAAACGACACUUUCACUGAAAUCCACUGGAGUCACAGCGAAACCUGAAUACCCCAAUCACAGUCCCAAGGUUAGACCCAGAUAUGCCAGUCGAUCCGGCUGCAGUUCCCGAUACCAUGAAAAAUGCGCUCCUCAUUAACACAGAUAUUUAUUGGCUGACUCAGGCUAACUCGUGCGUGUGACUCGCAGCGGAAUACAACAUUUUUUUAUACCAGAAUAAAUAAAUAAUACUAUGCUGU